GUUUGAUUUUCUUUGCCUAGAAAUCUCAGCAACUGCGACUUUUGUCAUCAACACCAUCAUACACAUAACAUGACCUCUAUGUUUCUUUUAUAGGGAAGUUGUCAGAUUUUUAAUAUUAUGUUAACUUUGUCCUUUGCACUUGGCAGUCAGCAUAGAUAGUAUAUAAGAGAGAAGCAGGGCAGGACUAAUAUAGGGGCUGAUCGAGCUGCAGCUCUAGGCCCAGGCCCAGGCCCAUGAAAUAGGCCAAUUUAAAAAAAAAAAUGGGAAAAGGGAAAGGCUGCAGGGAGACAUUGGGACACUGAGACACUUGGGGACACUGGGAAACAUGGGAACACUGAGACACUUGGGGACACUGAGGUACUAUGGGAGAUGGGAGACCUUGGGACACUGAGACACUAGGGGAUGCUGUGAGACAUAGG